ACGCUGGCGGCAGGCUUAACACAUGCAAGUCGAACGGUAACAGGAGAAAGCUUGCUUUCUUGCUGACGAGUGGCGGACGGGUGAGUAAUGCUUGGGAAUCUGGCUUAUGGAGGGGGAUAACGACGGGAAACUGUCGCUAAUACCGCGUAGAGUCGAGAGACGAAAGUGCGGGACCGCAAGGCCGCAUGCCAUAGGAUGAGCCCAAGUGGGAUUAGGUAGUUGGUGGGGCAAUAGCCUACCAAGCCGACGAUCUCUAGCUGGUCUGAGAGGAUGACCAGCCACACCGGGACUGAGACACGGCCCGGACUCCUACGGGAGGCAGCAGUGGGGAAUAUUGCGCAAUGGGGGCAACCCUGACGCAGCCAUGCCGCGUGAAUGAAGAAGGCCUUCGGGUUGUAAAGUUCUUUCGGUAUUGAGGAAGGUUGUUGUGUUAAUAGCACGACAAAUUGACGUUAAAUACAGAAGAAGCACCGGCUAACUCCGUGCCAGCAGACGCGGUAAUACGGAGGGUGCGAGCGUUAAUCGGAAUAACUGGGCGUAAAGGGCACGCAGGCGGACUUUUAAGUGAGGUGUGAAAUCCCCGGGCUUAACCUGGGAAUUGCAUUUCAGACUGGGAGUCUAGAGUACUUUAGGGAGGGGUAGAAUUCCACGUGUAGCGGUGAAAUGCGUAGAGAUGUGGAGGAAUACCGAAGGCGAAGGCAGCCCCUUGGGAAUGUACUGACGCUCAUGUGCGAAAGCGUGGGGAGCAAACAGGAUUAGAUACCCUGGUAGUCCACGCUGUAAACGCUGUCGAUUUGGGGAUUGGGCUUUAAGCUUGGUGCCCGAAGCUAACGUGAUAAAUCGACCGCCUGGGGAGUACGGCCGCAAGGUUAAAACUCAAAUGAAUUGACGGGGGCCCGCACAAGCGGUGGAGCAUGUGG
rnacentral:rRNA from 1 species